rnacentral:rRNA from 1 species
GUAAGGAAUAUUGGUCAAUGGACGCAAGUCUGAACCAGCCAUGCCGCGUGGAGGAUGAAGGUCCUCUGGAUUGUAAACUUCUUUUCUCUGGGACGAAACCCCCGAUUUCCAUCGGGCCUGACGGUACCAGAGGAAUAAGCACCGGCUAACUCCGUGCCAGCAGCCGCGGUAAUACGGAGGGUGCAAGCGUUAUCCGGAUUCACUGGGUUUAAAGGGUGCGUAGGCGGGUUUGUAAGUCAGUGGUGAAAUCCCCGAGCUUAACUUGGGAACUGCCAUUGAUACUGCAGAUCUUGAAUUUUCUGGAGGUAAGCGGAAUAUGUCAUGUAGCGGUGAAAUGCUUAGAUAUGACAUAGAACACCCAUUGCGAAGGCAGCUUACUACGGGAAUAUUGACGCUGAGGCACGAAAGCGUGGGGAUCAAACAGGAUUAGAAACCCGAGUAGUCC